CUCAUACAUGCAAAAAGUAAAUGUAUAUAUAUAUUUUUGAAUGCUCUUGGGGCCCCUAUUGGCCGCGGGGCCCUAAGCAGGCGCUUAGUUUGCUUAUGCCUUAUGCCUAUACUCUGGUAGGAAGAAUAGUUUUGUAAAAAGACACAAGCCAGGCAUGAAGAGGACAAGAUUAGGAAGGUCUGCUUUGUCCACAAGGGGGUGCCUCUUUCGUGUCAAUGCGUCGCCUAGCUCGGAAUCACAUCUGAUCGUGUUUUUACGGUGACUUUACUUUUAAUUCACUCGCGCGAAUGAUUUUAUUUGUGUUUGGUGUGAACCCAUCUUCAGUCUUGGGACCUUGCAGGAGUGCCUGAAGUGCUUGCAUUCUUUCAAACAACCAGCAGGGGUCGAUUUCUUUGGUUGCAAUUAUAUAUAUAUUUUUAAUUGCCUUAGCUCUUAGAUGAUUGAUUGGUCUUGACAGCAUUUUGCAAAUGAAUUUAUGGCCCCAAUUACUAGUUUCAGGUCUAAUUGAAUGUAUCAUGGUGUUGAUGUAUUAGUCAGAGUUGUAUUUAGAAUAAAACUGACAGUAUUGCUUGUUGCGAGGUCAACCAGCAGCCUCUCAAAUAGUAUGUUUGUCGAUCAGCUGCAUUGACCAAAUAUGGUCACUCCUUCCUCUGAAAAAGCAGUACGGUAACGGCCAAAAACCUGAAUUUUUAGCUUCACCAUGGCUCUUUUCCAGUCUAUGAAUCAGUCCCAAACCACCACCACCACCUCUCCACAUGGUUUUAACCUCGCACUUGAUCCUUGCAGAGCACAAGUGCUGCAACCCCACCCGUCGUAUUCGCUAACACACUUCUGCCCUGCUCCAAAGCCAGCGUGCAGAGCCGAGGUUAAGGAUGGUUAAGGACAAUACUAAUCGAUCCCCCAAUUACAGAGAGCUGGAGAGCUGGAAAGCUGGAAAGGUGGGGAGAAGAGAGAGAGAGAGAGAGGUAGCCUGGGGAUUGAGUGUUGGGAGGGUGUCUGAGAAUGCGAGGGGUGGGGGGAUGAGAGGUAGUCUUUAUCUUUGGAUCCCUUUCUCCUUUAAGUUGAAGCUGGGUGUCACGGGGCUUUUGAAGUAGUGGAUAGAGAGGAGGGACAGAAAGAGGGGGAGUAGAAGGGCUGGCGUGCAAGCAGGGUCCCUCUCCAUGCCAGGGGGAAGACGUCUGAAGGAAAAUCUUUACAGCCUUGACAGUGCCCCUGACUCGCAUGCAUUUUUGUGUAUUUUGUGUGUGAGUAUUUAGAUGUGUGUGUGUGUAUCCUAGCAUAUUUGUGUGCGAGUGUGCGCCUGAGUUGAAGUCUGGCUCUUGCAAUGAGGUGGGGAUCACAGAGCCCCCUUUUUAAAUUGCUGCUAAUGAGCCCUGGCUGGCGAGAGGUACUCGAAUUGAUUAAAUUUGCAUGGGAGCCUAAAUCAUGACGGGGGCCUCAUACUUGUGCCCCCCACCUCUAGGUGCACACACACACAUACACAGCACCCCUGGUAACACCCCCCUAAACCCCACUCAACAUCAGACCUACAGGGGGUCUCUCACUGCAGGAGAGAGGAACAGGAUAGAGCAGGGGGAGGGUGUGUGUGUGUGUACAUGUGUGUGUACAUGUGUGUGCGGUGUUGAACGGGGCGUGGAGGGCACCCAUCUGCCCCAGUAUUAUUGUCAGUCCAUCAUUCAGGGGAAUGCCAGGCGCGCGCCUCGGGGACGUGUUCAUUACGCUUUAACUACCGGAUCUGUCCUUGUCUCUCAGCCUCCUUGUGUCAUUGUCUGCCAGAGAUUGCGUGCGUGUAUAUUUAUGCAUGUGUCUGCUUGCAUCACAGUUGAACGCUCCCAGCCCUCGUGUACCAGGGGUUGUUAAGAGUGUUUUGAAAUUAGAGAUGUUCAGAUACAAUUUUCCUUACCAAUACUGAUACCCAUGCCUUGGAGGUGUAAUUGAUUAAAAACAUCCGAUUCCUCGGGAUGAGGAGUAAAUUUCCAAUCGGGAUAAACAAAGUAUUCCUGAUUUUGACUCUUCUGUACCAGAGCUAAAGAAAAACAUUGCUGUAUAUCUACAUAUUGUGGGAUAAAAUACACAAAUUACUGACAAUUUGAAGGAAUCAAUCUGCUAGCGCCAACCUGCUGCUGUUUGCAGUGUUGUAGUCAUGCCUUAAGUCCUCAGUGUUCAAGUCUGAAUCUAGUCAGAGUCACUAAAAAAGAAUCAGAGUUAAUCCUAGUCAAACUCUAUCGCUCAACUCCAAACCUGAAUCAAGUCCUUCUUCUCAAUUUUAUAUUAUUCUGUUAUAAGAAAGAUCAGUAACACUUAACUUGAUGCCUAUCUCUAUAAUGCAUUAUAAAUACACUCAAAUGAUCAUAAUGCUUUAAAACAAUAAUCAUAAGAAUCAGAAUCAUUUAUUAAUGGCCAUACAUCAGGGUUGGUGGAAUUUGUUUUCCGGUACAGCACAUCAUGCUCCCAUCUCCUGUGUCCGAUACAUACAUGCAGAAAUCAAAGAAAACAAUAAAACAACACAAGAUAACAGAUGUGAAGUUAUUUCAGGUAUUUGUUUAGUGUCUGUAUGGCAUUGGGGAAGAAAUUAUUCUUGAAUCUGGCUGAAUUGGCUGUUAAACACAUAAAGCGUUUUAUCAUGUGUUACAAGGUCAAGUCUUAUGUGUUAUCACUGUUAACAACUCACUGACAAUGCCCACAUAGAUAAUGCAUUAUUCAUGUAUUUAUGAUGUGUUAUAAUUUGCUUAUAAACUAGUAUAACUAUCAUUAUAAACACUCAUUAAUUAUCAUAAGGCUUUAUAACAAUAAGCCAAACACAUUAUAAUACCUGACCUUGUCAUGAUAAAAUGCUCUAUAAUGUGUUAUGAUUAUUGCUUUAAAGCAUUAUGAUCAUUUAUAAGUGUUUAUAACUAUAGUUAUACAGUGCUAUAAUGUGAUUGUAAUGCAUUAUACAUAUAUUUAUAAUGAGUUAUAGAGAUAGGCGUCAAGUAAAGUGUUACCAAAAGAUCUUUUAGGUGUGCAGAAAACAAAUUUAAUGUCUUAACAAUGAGCUCAGUGUUAGUUCGGGCAAGCCACAAAGUCAAGCUUAACCCACAGUACAUCAGAUGAUCCAUAUCAGCUGAUUAACUUGUAUGCAUCCGACUAGUCAUUUUCAGCAAGGCUACAUCAGUGCACUAACAUCCUGAUUCCUCUGAAAAACACAUUACCCCUACUUUUUAUGCUGUGUCUGAUUUUACUAGUGCCAAGUGUAUUUUUACAAACGCCUGCCCUGUUCGUUUUUUUGAGGGUCUUUGCUGCUGCUCUCCCUGUGCUGGAUUUUCAUAAAACAAAGUGGAGGUGUGCUCUUCCUGCUGAGGCCUUUGGCGUUCCACGUACACAUGAAGAAGAGCCGAGAGCUCACAGGACAGAACCGUACUACCAUACAAAUAGUUAAUUCUCUUAGAUAAAAGUCGUCCUGGCUGAAAUGAGACUCUGCAGAUCUUGUUGGCAUGAUAAACUCAGCAGAGUAAAAGUUAAUAAGGGGACUAAGUGAGGUGACAUUUGAUUAUAUUUUGAGGUGUUCAAGGUUGGUUUGGUAAAACAAAUAUAUGGUAAAAGUGAUCAAGAAAAAAAGUUUUUGGUGAAAAAUCUGUACAAGAGUUAGUAACAGAAAAGACUCAACAGCAGUAUUGAUAAAGACUCAAAUCAUUUAAUAGUCUCAAUUACGCUAUCAUGAUCAACAUUAUCAAUAAAAAGUAGCGAUCCCCUUCCCAAACCUUACCUCUCUCUUUAUGAGGAGAUGCACUCAUUGAUAUCUGGGAUCACUGCUGGUGUCUUACUCAAACACACACCAAACAACUCAUCUGCUGUUGUUAACAAUAUCCUAACCACCCAAACCCUAGAUAUUUAACCUGAGGCGAAUAAAACUGUUUUUAAAUAUUUUCUUCUAGAUAUUCUUCAGAUAUUCUUCUCUUUCUUUGUCACACUAGCAAAAAUUGCCCGUGUCAAACAUUAGUGCAUUGCUUCUCUAAUGGUUACCUUUCUAAUGGCAACUGUGUGAUGAGAGCUACUUUCUGUGUACUCGUGCACUUUGCAUCUGAUCAACAGUGAGGUGUCAGAGCGAGUGUGCACAUGUGUGUGUGUGUGCUUGUUGGGGAUGGGACUUGUGCUAGAGCGUGGUUAGCCCGGGUGAUUGCAGUAAUCAGAUGGGGGUGUUAAUCAGAGUUUGUUCGUCAGUGGCCUGAUGAGGGGCGAUGAGGGCCGCUGAUUGUAAUGUGAUGCUUCAAUCGGUCCCUCUGACGACUACAGAGACAAACCACCAAGAGAAUCAUUAUCAUACCGUACACUUUUUGUUUUCUUCCACUUUUGGAAACGCCACAAUACACUGCAGAAGUGUAAACAAACAACACAUUCAGCCACUGAAGUAUGUCAGACUCUAUUAUUAUUUUACAGGAUUUUUUUCAUUCCAGUGGACACAGUGAAGCUCUGUGACAUGAUGGGGUUAUAUAUCACUAUUUAGGUGUCAGUGUCACCCCCUUUUGAAUAACACCAGCAAGGGGGGAGGGAUUUGCUGGGGUUAGAGGGGAGAAAAAACAGUCGAGAGAAAGGUUGAGGGGGUGGGGAGGUAGAUGUGACCCCAUCGUUUAUAGUCCUGUCUUGUCACAGACAGGCGCACAUCAGAUCUUUUUCCCUUUUCUUUCAUUUUAUUGCAAAAAGGGGGAGGUAGGGGGGGUGAUCGCUGAUGCUAUUAUGGCUGCCUCAUCAGCCAAGUCCCUACAAGGGCUGAUACAAAUUAAUUAACCUAAUUAGGGGCUGCGAUUGCGGGUGUGAUUAUAGGGGCUGGAAGGGGAGGUAUGGAGGGAGGAAUGGUUGGUUCAUUGAGGUGGGGGUGCGCUGGCAGCCAGGGCCCAGGCGAUGAUGAGCCGGGAGGUGUGGGAGACGAGCCAAGAUGCUCUGCAUGGCUAAUGAGAGAAAACUAGCUAGCUUCAGCCUUCUCUCCUGUUUUCUGCUUCUUUCUCUGCCUUUUACAUCUACUGUGUCUUUUCGUUUUUCGGUCUCACUGUUGCUUAUCUUUAACAGUCUAUUAUUAGGCCUGCUGACUGUAAUCACAUUAAAUUAAUUUUACAUUGUCCAUAAUUACUCAUAUCCUAACCCUGUAAACUGAAUUCAUUUUGAAUUCAUUUACAUGAGUUGUUGUUUGAAUGUUGCUGCUGUCCCCUGUCUCUCUCUCUCUCUCUCUCUCUCUCUCUCUCUCUCUCCUUCACUCUAUCUUGUUCUCGUUCUCUCCCCCUUCUCUCUGGUCUGGUCCUGUUCAAGGUUUCUGCCUGUUAAAAGGAAGUUUUUCCUUGACACUGUUAAGGUCCUUUCACACCGGGACCGUUUUUUUCGUGCGAUUAUUUCAGAUGUAAAUAUUUUUUCGAACCCGUAUCCUGUCAUUACAAGCGUUCACAUCAGCGAUGUUUCCCCGUCCCACGAUAUUGCAGCAUUUAUUUUUUCGGAUCACGGUCGAAUUUUCUAAAGUUUCGCAUACUGUGUGUCCACUUCUGACCAAACAGGUUGUGUGUUGUUGCGACGUCAGAUUCACCGGUAUAUCCAACAUGGCCGACCGGCUGAUUGUUUACAUGUCAGAGAAUAGAGUACUUUUUGAUAAAAAACACAAAUAUUACAAAGAUAACAACCUGAAGGACAACUUGUGGAGAGUCACAGCGUCAGAUUUCUCAUAUGAUGAUGGUUUGUGUGCUUGAACAGUUUGCUAAACGUCUUUGUUUUAACUUUCAUCUGUGCUAAGUAACUUUAGCUCGUAAGCUAACCUGUUCAGAUACAACAUACCAUAUGUAUUUUCACCGUCUCAAACUCAAUCACGUUGCUGUCACGGCACCAUUAGGUCUCAGUUGUUGCCUUACGUUUAUACAGUUUAAUGUGCUUAUCUGGUACUGGCCCCGACUCAGUACAUGCUAUCAUGACAGACAGACAUCUCAACACUAGUGUCUAAUCAGAACUGAAAAACAGUCAGUCUGCUGUUGUGUCAGUCUUCUUGCUUCCACCCAGGAUGCGUCUUUUCCCCCCCGGAAAGUCGCUUGAUGUGUAUUGUCAGGCGCGUCAAAAUUCGCCUCUGAAUAUUUUGUAAUUUCGCGUUCUAUAUUCGCGUCAGCCCGGUGUGUAAGGACCUUUACUCAUGUUAGAUGAGAUGGGCCAAAUCCCAUCUUAGGUUGGCUCUUGAUAAUUCAUCAAACAAUGAGCGUGGUCUAGACCUGCUCUUUUUCUUUAGAAAACGUCUUGGGAUGACGACUGUUGUGAAUUGGCGCUAUAUAAAUAAAAUUUGAUUGAUUGAUUUGAUUGAACAGUCAUGAAAUCUUAUAAAAAUCUGUUUUUUGUCUAUUUUCAAUCAAACAUUUCUGUGGAACACAAAUAUUUUUACUGCUGUUUCCACCCCAAACUUGAACUUCCCUUUGCACCUGUUGCGACACACAGAAGACCAAUCAGUCCGAACCUUUUCUUUUAGGGUUAAUGUCGUCAGACCUCAAAAGAGAGAGCACAACAGUUCGGGCGUCCUGAAGUGCAGCAUGAUUUCAGAUGUCUCUAAAAAGCUGUGGUCUGCUCUUUGUUGAUGUUCUGUGAUAUCCCUCUGCAUAGGGUGCACUAGUGCAGCACUGCCUAUUGUUCACUAUAACUGUACUCCACACAAGGAACAGAAGUACCCUCUGGGAACACACAUAGCUACACACACACACACACACACACGUUUUUUUCUCAUCCUUUCGUAUGCACAACCAAUCGCGGCUCAACACACAGAUGCACACAGUACACUUAAACUCUCUCCCUCUCUCUCUUUCUCUGUGUGUCUGCCUUUCUCUCUGCCACACACCAGAGGAGCAAUAUUUAAAUCUCCUUCUAUUUGUAUUGGAAACAGAACAAAGAUAUUCUUCAGACCGAAGCAAAAUGUGUUUUCUUGCCGGCAUCAGCAAUUCUAAUGUUUUUAAUGAGUCGUAGGAGAAGACAAGCGACUGAAAGAAGCAGUUAGAUAUCAGUUUAUAAAAAAAAAAAUACCAAAGAAAAGAAAGAAAACACACCCAGUUCCUCUGAAGUGCAUUUGUCAGAGCAUCUACCUUUUUCAGUGGUGACACCUUUUGUCAGUAUUGUCCACUGAUUGCAAUGUCAUGUUUGAAUAUCGUCACUGUAUCUGCGCCAUGCAAAGCAGGCAGUGGAUUGAAGCAUUUGAUUUCUGAGAUUGUGCCUUUGGCUGCCUCUCCUCUUCCUCUCUUUUCUCAUCUUGUAGCUCAUCCUUUCCCUGCACUAGCUGUUUCUGCAUCAGCAUCAGUUGCAGGGAUGUGAUUGUAAAGUCACUACUAGACGGUAAUAUGGAGGUGUUCAUAUUAGAUUUCUAAUCCAGAGCCCCAGGAAAAACUUGACUCCUCUGUUUUUCUUCUUUCAUAUACUUUAAAGAUGGUUAAAACAGCUUAAAUGGCUAACUCUAAACAAAUUAUGAUCAAUUUAGUGCAGCUCCCUCGGGGCUGCAUUGGCACAAGAGUUUUAACAUCUUUCUGCUCAUUGUUUUGGGUUUUCUGUCAUGAUUUAGUAAAGUGUUAUGUUUACAGGAACUAUGUCAAGAUUAAAGGAAAUGUACAUAACAGACGAUCACCAGCCAGUACAGAUAUUUGAGAAUCAGUAAGAGGAAUAUUUAACCUGCUUAUAGUCGAAAAUGGACAUGUAGGACUUAUAAUCAUCAGGUUAUCCAUCGCUUUUUGGAUGCAGUAAUGUACAUUUUUAUUGGUAAUGGUGUCAAAAGCUUGCAGGGUUGUAAUUCAGAAGAAUUUUCUAAUAUUUAUUUUAUCAUCACAUAGACCAUUUGUAGGCUUUUCAUGCCUUUAUUGAGGGGAUAGUACAGAGAGCGGGUAAUGACAUGCUGCAAAAGACUCAGGGUUUGAGUGGAACCCACGUUUGUUUCGAGGAGAUGCUAUGUAGCUGAUGAGCCAGAUCUGUGCUAAUGUUUCAGACAUACAUCACUGAUAAAAAUACUCAUUUGUAGACGUUCUUAAAAUGUUAUCACUUAAAGGCUAAAUCUAAAGCGAAAGGCGAACUUCUACAUCAAAACCAGGUUUAAUGUAUCCAUCAAAAUCAAAACACAAACUGGAUAUUUUCAGCAAAUAUGCAAGGAGUGAUAAGAUGCUACUAUAAACAGUAUUAACCUUUGACAUUGGAGUUAUCUUAAUUUAAUUAUGCCAUCUGCUCUGUGUUGCCAUCCAUCUAAGUGUUUCAUACCCUCAUAUUCCCUGCAGAGAGUUAGCUGCUUCAGGAAUAAGCAAAAGACUAAACACAGACAUUUCAACAGUCACUUUAUAGAGCACAAGAAAUAAUAACGCUUCAUUUCAAAGUCAGGGUAAAAAACAUCAAUUAAUAGUAGAUAAGCCAUUUAUAAGACUGUAUAAGAUGCUUAUAAUGUUAUAAAUGUUAAUAAGUGUCAAUAAAAGCAUAAUCAGCAUAUUUAUUAUUGCUUAUAAUACAGUUUUA